UACGAAGGGUGCAAACGUUGCUCGGAAUUAUUGGGCGUAAAGCGCACGUAGGCGGCUUGGCAAGUCGGAUGUGAAAUCCCUCGGCUCAACCAAGGAAGUGCAUCCGAAACUGCUAAGCUUGAGUACUUAAGAGGAUCGCGGAAUUCCCGGUGUAGAGGUGAAAUUCGUAGAUAUCGGGAGGAACACCAGUGGCGAAGGCGGCGAUCUGGGAAGAUACUGACGCUGAGGUGCGAAAGCGGGGGGAGCAAACAGG
rnacentral:rRNA from 1 species